UUCUCAGCCUCCAGCCCAGAAGAGUUACAUUAGGAACUCUAGAGAAAACAUGCUCUCAGGGAGAUGAUAAGCAACUCAUGCUGAAGAAUUUUUUUUUCAGAGCUUCCAAAUAUUCUACUUUCAUAUCCGUUUGACUCAACAUCUUUAAAGAAAUGGAUAAUGAUGAAAGACUUCAAAAAGUGUUAAGGAUUAAUUUGAAAGAGAAGUUAUAUACCCUGAAUAGAAAAAUUGAAGAAAGAAGAAGCUAGAUAUUUGGAGAAAUUUAAAAAGCAAAAUGAGGCUGGGUGCAGUGGUUCACGCCUGUUAAUCCCAGCACUUUGGGAGGCCAAGGCAUAGCCCUUUUGUACCUGCAGUUGUACCGGGUCACAUGUGACCAAACCUACCUGCUCCGAUCCCUGGAUUACGUAAAAAGAACACUUCGGAAUCUGAAUGGCCGCAGGGUCACCUUCCUCUGUGGGGAUGCUGGCCCCCUGGCUGUUGGAGCUGUGAUUUAUCACAAACUCAGAAGUGACUGUGAGUCCCAGGAAUGUGUCACAAAACUUUUGCAGCUCCAGAGAUCGGUUGUCUGCCAAGAAUCAGACCUUCCUGAUGAGCUGCUUUAUGGACGGGCAGGUUAUCUGUAUGCCUUACUGUACCUGAACACAGAGAUAGGUCCAGGCACCGUGUGUGAGUCAGCUAUUAAAGAGGUA
rnacentral:lncRNA from 10 species